UACAGAGGUCCCAAGCGUUGUUCGGAUUCAUUGGGCGUAAAGGGUGCGUAGGCGGCGCGGUAAGUCGGGUGUGAAAUCUCGGAGCUUAACUCCGAAACUGCAUUUGAUACUGCCUUGCUUGAGGACUGGAGAGGAGACUGGAAUUCACGGUGUAGCAGUGAAAUGCGUAGAUAUCGUGAGGAAGACCAGUGGCGAAGGCGGGGUCUCUGGACAGUUCCUGACACUGAGGCACGAAGGCC
rnacentral:rRNA from 1 species